rnacentral:hammerhead_ribozyme from 1 species
AUCCAGCUGACGAGUCCCAAAUAGGACGAAGUGACGCGCG